rnacentral:tRNA from 4 species
UGAUAAUUAGUUUAAUUAAAACAAGUGAUUUCGACUCACUAGACUAUGAUCUAUUCAUAAUUAUCAA